GAUCCUGGCUCAGGAUGAACGCUGGCGGCGUUGCUUUAACACAUGCAAGUCGAACGAAGACAUCUGAGUGCUUGCACUUGGAUGGACUGAGUGGCGGACGGGUGAGUAACGCGUGGGUAACCUGCCUUAUACCGGGGGAUAACACUUAGAAAUAGGUGCUAAUACCGCAUAAGCGCACGGUGUCGCAUGACACAGUGUGAAAAACCCCGGUGGUAUAAGAUGGACCCGCGUCUGAUUAGCUAGUUGGUGAGGUAACGGCCCACCAAGGCGACGAUCAGUAGCCGGCCUGAGAGGGUGAACAGCCACAUUGGGACUGAGACACGGCCCAAACUCCUACGGGAGGCAGCAGUGGGGAAUAUUGCACAAUGGGGGAAACCCUGAUGCAGCGACGCCGCGUGAGUGAUGAAGUAUUUCGGUAUGUAAAGCUCUAUCAGCAGGGAAGAUAAUGACGGUACCUGACUAAGAAGCACCGGCUAAAUACGUG
rnacentral:rRNA from 1 species